GCACAGGAUGCACCGUAGUUUACUACACCGUAUUCUGUGAGUUGCGAACGGGUGAGUAACGCGUAGGUAACCUGCCUGGUAGCGGGGGAUAACUAUUGGAAACGAUAGCUAAUACCGCAUAAGAACAUUUACUGCAUGGUAGAUGUUUAAAAGGUGCAAAAGCAUCACUACCAGAUGGACCUGCGUUGUAUUAGCUAGUUGGAGAGGUAACGGCUCACCAAGGCAACGAUACAUAGCCGACCUGAGAGGGUGAUCGGCCACACUGGGACUGAGACACGGCCCAGACUCCUACGGGAGGCAGCAGUAGGGAAUCUUCGGCAAUGGGGGGAACCCUGACCGAGCAACGCCGCGUGAGUGAAGAAGGUUUUCGGAUCGUAAAGCUCUGUUGUUAAGGAAGAACGUGUGUGAGAGUGGAAAGUUCACACAGUGACGGUACUUAACCAGAAAGGGACGGCUAACUACGUGCCAGCAGCCGCGGUAAUACGUAGGUCCCGAGCGUUGUCCGGAUUUAUUGGGCGUAAAGCGAGCGCAGGCGGUUAGAUAAGUCUGAAGUGAAAGGCAGUGGCUCAACCAUUGUAGGCUUUGGAAACUGUUUAACUUGAGUGCAGAAGGGGAGAGUGGAAUUCCAUGUGUAGCGGUGAAAUGCGUAGAUAUAUGGAGGAACACCGGUGGCGAAAGCGGCUCUCUGGUCUGUAACUGACGCUGAGGCUCGAAAGCGUGGGGAGCGAACAGGAUUAGAUAUCCUGGUAGUCCACGCCGUAAACGAUGAGUGCUAGGUGUUAGGUCCUUUCCGGGACUUAGUGCCGCAGCUAACGCA
rnacentral:rRNA from 1 species